UGGGGAAUCUUGCGCAAUGGGCGAAAGCCUGACGCAGCAACGCCGCGUGUGGGACGAAGGCCUUCUGGGUUGUAAACCACUUUCAGCAGGGACGAUUGUGACGGUACCUGCAGAAGAAGCCCCGGCCAACUACGUGCCAG
rnacentral:rRNA from 1 species